UUAUUGUAUAAAAAAAAUAAAAGUUGUAAAAAAAGCUACAUGUUUUUAUGUACACCUAUUUCAACCUACUGAUACAAGUAAGUGUGACCUGCAAGCAGAGAGUCGCUCACUGUUCCAAGACCACUCAUUCCCUCUUUAUCUUUGAUGUUUUCAUCUCACUUUUUCGCAUUAUCUCACUUUUUCAAGGCCACAAUAUUGAUGCAUUUUCAUUCAAGGUUAAAAAGUGGUGGUAUAGUUAAUAUAUAGAAUUUAGUACAAGUUUGAUAGCAGUCAGUACUGAUUUAAUCCUCCGAGAAAUAAGAAUAUAAAAAAAGUGCAUAUAUCUGUGUUAAUGUUUAAGAGUAUUCGCUGCUGGGUCAUGGAUGUAUUGAAUCGAAUCGCUCGAUGCGAACAGAAGCCCAUUUUAAAAGCUGGUGAGCUAGAGUUGAACACAAGAUUCCGCAUACAUAAUAUUAGACGCACAAAGUCUCUGUUCGGAAAUUCAGUGCUUGUUGAGUUGGACAAUUAUGCAGUGUUUCUGCCGAGAAGAAUAAGUGAUUAUUUGACUGAGGAGAAAAUUGAUGAGUUAUUACGAGAUCCACGUCCACUAUAUUUAAUAUAUUUGGGAAAAGAAGAUGCUAGAAACCCGACAUCUGCACAUUGUUUUGAGUUUCAACGUGUUGAUGAUGAAAUAUUAGUUAACGAGAGUGCCGAAGAGUAGGAUGAAAUUAUCGGAAAAAGUUAUGUGUGUGAAGUAAUGUGCGUUUUGUGCUAGUGAUAGUUUCUUAAAAUAAAUGAAUAAAAAUCAUGUGUCUAGACGAUGGACAAUAUGAAAAAAGUUUAUACGAGUGUUUUGAUAAAAGACUGUUAUCAUAUAAGAACUGGGUACAUUCAUACCCAUCUCCAUGGAGUUUAGCAAAAGCGGGAUUGUUUUAUAUUCAAAUAUCUGAUUGUACACAGUGUUUUGUUUGUGGAGUAAUAAUUUCACGAUGGGAAAAAAGUGAUGAUGCGUUUAUGGAGCAUAAAAAACAUUCUCCAAAAUGUGGAUAUGUGAAAUUGCUUUCCACAGACAAAACUACAAUUCAAAAAUUCAAAUUAGUUACUAAAAAUAGCAUUGUUGUAGUUUUAUUUUUUAUAGUAUUUGUAUUCAUGUAUUAUUUAUGUGCGUCUUCUUAUGCAUAGGUAAUGUGAUGUAGACUUGUUAACCUUGAUCAGUGUCGGGCGCGCGCCAAAGGCGAGGUAAACUAGGUUUCAAGAGGCGUCUUGAUUUAAUUAGUUUAUAAUUAAAUAAGUGGUAGAAUAAUAUGGAGGAUUUAUAAUAGAUUUAAGGAUAUUUAAUGUACUACCUAUAAUAUUGAUGAAAUAAAGUGUUUUAAUUGA